rnacentral:lncRNA from 1 species
AUGGGAGAGCAGGAGGAGACGAAAGCGACGCACCCUUUGGAGAGCUGCGGUCAACCCCUUGGGCAUCACCGCCCUGUGCGUCAAGGUCGCCCUCCCCAUCAUCAUCGCCGCUUGGUGAGGGGUCGCGGUGCCCCUGCACGUCGAGGCCCGGCAGCUCGUCCAGCAAAAGGUCUUGGGGCCCGAGGGAAAAGGCGGCGCUGGGUCCCGCCUCCGACCCCUCCUCGGCCUCGGGCCGCCUCUUUCCCAGGCGCCUGGGCGUCACCGACGGGUCCCCGCGCAGGAUCGAGUGCAGCUCCUCGAAGUAGGGGCAGAUGGCCUUGCUGCCGCUCAGCAAGGCGGGCCCGUCGAGGCUCAGCGCCCGCUUGUAGUCCAACCGGAGGCCCUUGGUCUUCCGGCGGCACUCCUCGGCCGUGCGCUUGUGGCCGCGGCGCCGCAUCUCCCUCGCGAUGGCCACGAAGCACUCGAAGUUGCGGUGGCUGCGGCGGAGCUGCUGCUGCACCUUCUCGGCACCCCAGAUGCUCAGCAGAGAAAAGUGGCUGUGAACGACACCCUUGCAAAGAAGAGGAGAGUCCCAAACCCUUCUUAGAAAGAACAGGAGAAAUCCCCAGCUUCCUAAAUCAGAAGACAAGGACAAAGCUGCCUAGUUUCAAACCAGGGACGUUUUGCAUGUGAGGUGAACAUAAUAACCACUGGGGGAACAGCAUACCUUCCCCAUGCAGGCACUGCCAAUCUAUUUUAUCUGCGUUUAUAAUGAUUUUAUUGUGAUCUGCUCUGAGACCUUCAUGUGUAUAGUGGGAUAGAAAUAUAAAUCAAUAUUAUAAAAAGUCCUGGUGUUAAUCUGUCUUGCUUUUCCAUAAAUGUUUCCUUUAAGGAUCAACAUGCAGUGAGCAAAAAACUCAGCUCCAUGAGCUGGAGGGUUGUCAGUAAGGUGUGAAUCCUGUCAAGCUGCGGCAGCAAGAGUGUCAAGGAAGAGCCCAGAUCCGCAACAAAGGAAGGAAGGGUCUCCCCUCCCUGUGGAUCUGGGGCCUUAACACGGCUGCUGCAGCUGGACAGGACUCAACGCCCAUUGGCAAUCUCCAAGGGGAUCAGCAGCAAAGGAUUGAAUCCUGUCAUGCUACUCAGUGGCAGUGUCCAGGGAUGCCCACAAAGCAGUCAUGCCCCUGAUCUGGGGCUUACACUCUGUGGGAAUUGUAAGACUCCAUUUUGAGCAGAUGGGCUUAAGGCUUC